AACGCGAAGAACCUUACCUGGGCUUGACAUGCACUGGAAACCAGUAGAGAUAUUGGCCCCCUUGUGGCCGGUGUACAGGUGGUGCAUGGCUGUCGUCAGCUCGUGUCGUGAGAUGUUGGGUUAAGUCCCGCAACGAGCGCAACCCUCGUUCCAUGUUGCCAGCACGUAAUGGUGGGGACUCAUGGGAGACUGCCGGGGUCAACUCGGAGGAAGGUGGGGAUGACGUCAAGUCAUCAUGCCCCUUAUGUCCAGGGCUUCACACAUGCUACAAUGGCCGGUACAAAGGGCUGCUAAGCCGUGAGGUGGAGCGAAUCCCAUAAAGCCGGUCUCAGUUCGGAUCGGGGUCUGCAACUCGACCCCGUGAAGUCGGAGUCGCUAGUAAUCGCAGAUCAGCAACGCUGCGGUGAAUACGUUCCCGGGCCUUGUACACACCG
rnacentral:rRNA from 1 species